rnacentral:lncRNA from 1 species
UCUGGCUUACGACAGAAACACAGUUGACAAAGUUUCUGUUCUUAAAGGGAGUGCUUUGGGCAACUGCAGAUGGGGAAAGAAAAUUAACGAAGAGCCUUCAUGCAAGGAAAUGACCAUUUUGGUGGUGACAGGCAUGGAUGAAGAACAGCAUGGAGCCUAGAAGAGGAUUCUGAAUGAAAAAUGUCUAGGGAAAGUAGACCCUGAGAGCCCAGCACAGACACAGUGACCCCUGUGAAAUCUGGCUAAGAAUCAAAUUAAAUCCUCAGUGAGGAGAGAUUAAAGGUUAACACCGGAACUGCUCUAUACAUUUUUUAUAUUUUUAGUAGAUAUACAUUUUGAUUGGGUUAACUAUUUGGUUAACUCUAUAUUGUUAGUUGUCAGAGUAUGGAUUCAAUCAGUCUGAACUUAUUUUUGAGCUGUAUAUAAAGCUCUGAGUUAAAAAAAAUUUGGAGGCUUUGUUAAAGAAAGAAAGCUGUCCUUCAUGAACCCCACUGCCAACUGCAAUCCAGACUCCAGAGUGGACAGACCACCCUAGAGAGUGGUAAAACCAGGUAAGCAGCACCUCUUCAGGAACAGGGAUGUGAGGAGGUUUAUUCCUGCCUGCUCAUACUUGUUUUACUUCAUGCUUAUAAGAAUUGAGGUUAAUGAACGUGACAGCUUCUGAUUGUACAGUGAGAGGUUGAAGAAAUAAGGAAAAGGACUAAUAGAAGGUUCUUACUUUACCAUCUGCCAUAGUUUGGAUGUUUGUCCGCUCUGGAUCUCAAGUUGAAAUGUGAUCCCCAGUGCUGAAGGUGGGCCUAGAGGGAAGUUUUUGGAGCAUGGGGGAGGAUCCCUCAUGAAUGUCUUGGUGUCCUCCUCACAGUAAUAAGUGAGUUCCUGCAAGAUCUGAUUGUUAAAGAGUCUAGGGUCCCUCCUACUUAUUGCCUCCUUUUGCCAUGUGAUAUUGUUAAAGAGUCUAGGGUCCCUCCUACUUUUUGCCUCCUUUUGCCAUGUGAUGUUGUUAAAGAGUCUGGGGUCCCUCCUACUUCUUACCUUCUUUUGCCAUGUGACACACCUGCUCCCCCUUCACCUUCCACCAUGAGUGGAAGCUUCCUGAGGCCCUCACCAGAAGCAAUGCUGGUACCAUGCUUGUACAGACUGCUGAACCAGAGCCAAAUAAAACUCUUUUCUUUACAAAUUACCCAGCCUCAGGUAUACGUUUACAGCAAUGCAAAAUGGACUAACAGAACAUUCGUACUGAGGAAUGGGGUGUUGCUGUAAAGACAUAUGAAGAUGUGGAAGCAGCUUUGAAACUGGGUAAUGGGCAGAGGCUGGAAAACUUCUGAGGGCUCAGAAGAAGACAGG